rnacentral:rRNA from 1 species
AACGAACGCUGGCGGCAUGCCUAACACAUGCAAGUCGAACGAACCCUUCGGGGUUAGUGGCGCACGGGUGCGUAACGCGUGGGAAUCUGCCCUUUGCUUCGGAAUAACUCAGGGAAACUUGUGCUAAUACCGGAUGAUGUCUUCGGACCAAAGAUUUAUCGGCAAGGGAUGAGCCCGCGUAGGAUUAGGUAGUUGGUGGGGUAAAGGCCUACCAAGCCGACGAUCCUUAGCUGGUCUGAGAGGAUGAUCAGCCACACUGGGACUGAGACACGGCCCAGACUCCUACGGGAGGCAGCAGUGGGGAAUAGUGGAAAAUGGGCGCAAGCCUGAUCCAGCAAUGCCGCGUGAGUGAUGAAGGCCCUCGGGUCGUAAAGCUCUUUUACCAGGGAUGAUAAUGACAGUACCUGGAGAAUAAGCGCCGGCUAACUACGUG